AUCUCUGUAGAGUCUGCAUAUCAAUAAGCGGAGGAAAAGAAACUAACAAGGAUUCCCCUAGUAACGGCGAGUGAAGCGGGAAGAGCUCAAAUUUGAAAUCUUCAAGGUUUGACCUUGACGAAUUGUAGUUUAAAGAAGUGUUUUCGGUUAGAGGAGUUCGGUAAAAGUUCUUUGGAAUAGGACAUCAUAGAGGGUGAGAAUCCCGUAUUUGACCGUUAUUCAUUCUAGCUGUGUGAUACACUUUCAAAGAGUCGGAUUGUUUGGGAAUGCAGUCCAAAAUGGGUGAUAAAUUUCAUCUAAAGCUAAAUAUUGGCGAGAGACCGAUAGCGAACAAGUACCGUGAGGGAAAGAUGAAAAGAACUUUGAAAAGAGAGUUAAACAGUACGUGAAAUUGUCAAAAGGGAAGCGUUUGACACCAGUGUUGUUUUUCCGAAAAUCAAUUACGAAUGGCUUGAUUUUGUGUUGUAUUGACCUUAUCAGCUUUCUUCACUUUUUUCGAGUCUUUCUUAAUGCACUUUUUGGUUAACAAGUCAACAUCAAUUUCUUUUGUUGUAAAAGAGCAUUCGGAAGGUGGCUUUCUUUUCGGAGAAAGUGUUUAUAGCCCUAUACUUCUACAAUCGGAGAGAUUGAGGUCUGCAGCGUAGAUCCUUCGGGGUUAGAUACACUUGUGCUAAGUUGUAGCUUUUCAUAGACAACUUGUUGACUAUGUUUAGUCAUGCGGCUUACUCGCUUGUGCUAUUUUACCUACGCUUAGGAUGUUGACUGAUAUGUAGUCGUA
rnacentral:rRNA from 1 species